UACGUAGGGGGCAAGCGUUGUCCGGAUUUAUUGGGCGUAAAGAGCUCGUAGGCGGCUCGGUAAGUCGGGUGUGAAAUUUCGAGGCUUAACCUCGAAACGCCACCCGAUACUGCUGUGGCUAGAGUCCGGUAGGGGAGCGUGGAAUUCCUGGUGUAGCGGUGAAAUGCGCAGAUAUCAGGAGGAACACCGGUGGCGAAGGCGGAUCUCUGGGCCUUGCCUGACGCUGAGGCGCGAAAGCUAGGGGAGCGAACAGG
rnacentral:rRNA from 1 species